rnacentral:rRNA from 1 species
UACAGAGGUCUCAAGCGUUGUUCGGAUUCAUUGGGCGUAAAGGGUGUGUAGGUGGCGCCGUAAGUCGGGUGUGAAAUUUCGGAGCUUAACUCCGGAACUGCAUUCGAUACUGCGGUGCUUGAGGACUGGAGAGGAGACUGGAAUUCAUGGUGUAGCAGUGAAAUGCGUAGAGAUCAUGAGGAAGACCAGUGGCGAAGGCGGGUCUCUGGACAGUUCCUGACACUGAGACACGAAGGCCAGGGGAGCAAACGGG